UCGACAUAUCGGACAUCGGCUGAAAGUUAAUAUUGGACAUACCUAAAUAUUAUAAUAAAAUUAAAUCAAAGUGAAUUAUAUAAAAUAUUUAUAUCUACAUAAUAUAUGGAAUAAAUAAAAGAUAAGUGACGCAUUUAUGGCGGCUAGGUCGUAAUUCUGAUAUUGUGGGCUCUACUGCAGCUCCAUCUGUUCCAUGCUGUAGAACAUUCUCCAGCCUGUCCACGUCACACAGUGAGGCGGCCAGUGACCUGUCAUCUCCUCCAUGGUCUCAGUGGCUCCAAGAACAACAGAACAGUGUGACGUCCUGUACAGUGGGGUCGUUUUAACCAUGGGACAAAUGUGUUCAAACUCUAUAGGCUGCAGAUCUCUACUGACAUGGACACUGUGUAAAAAAAAUAUAACCAGAGAACAGAGAUUUUUUUUUUGGCCUGGAAAACUGUUCCUUUUUGGAUAGUUUUUUUUUUUCAUUUUUGUCCAUCUGUUGUUAAUUUGAUUUGUACUAAAAUAAAAGUUCAUUCAGGAUCAUUUCUGUAUUUCAUUCAGACUCUGUGAUAUCAGAGAAUGAUCUGGUUUGACUUUACAGAUGUUUGUGACCAAGUGAUACAUAUGGUGUGAAUACAGCGUCGUGAAAGGAAUCACUAUGGUAGUACAUGAUGAUACUGUGUUUAUAUAAAGCUAACAUAUGUGUCAGGCCUGUCUGCCUCUCUGCCCUCCCCUCUGUCUCUCCAGGGGUAAUUAGUUUCAUCACCCCCACCUGUGACCCCUGGUUCUCUGAUCAGUCUCACUGGUCUCACCCGGUGGCCUACAUACAGUGUCUCUCUCCCUCACUCUGUCUUUGUUGGGUCCUGGGUUUUACUGUUGUUUUCUGGUCCUGCUGUGUAUCUCCCUGUGUUCCUUCUGUCUGUGUUCCUGCCUGGCCCGCGUUCCCUGCAGUAACCUCCCUUUUCUAAUUUUUUUUUUUUUUUGUGGAUUUGCCUGACUGACUGUUCUGGAAUUUGGACUUUAAAGAACUGCAACUGAUUCCUCUGUUCUACUGCAUUUGGAUCCUGCCUGCACCACCGUACCCAACAGCCACGCUGUCAAUAAAUGCUGGUGUGAUGGAGUGGUGGGCAGGGGUUCAGUGACAUACGCCUCAGUGGGAGGGGCUUCCUGGGACUUCACCUCAUCUGUGGCGUUGUGCAGAGUCACCACCUUUGAGUGCAGUGACAGACAGAAAACAGCAGGUUGAACAGACUCCUCCCCCUUUUCAGAGCUGCUGACUACAGAACAGGAGCUUGGUGGUGAUGGAGUGCAGCUUCAGGAGAUCCAUGCCAUAGAAGGACCCCUCCAGGAGCUCCAGGAUGGUGGAGAGCUAAAACAGUCAAGUGGAACCCGUCAACAGGGAGGUUUCAGAACGAUAUAUAC